rnacentral:rRNA from 1 species
UCUGAAUCUGCGAACGGCUCCGUAAACCAGUUGUAAACUCGAGCAAGCUAGCCUGGGGAUGGCCCUCACGGGCUGACCCUGGGCUACAAGGAUAACCCUGGUAAUCCUGAGGCUAAUACAUGAGCGUAAACCCUGGGAGACUGGGCCUUCGGGCCUGGGAUCUUAGGGGGCGUGCGAGUUGAGGCUUGGGUUUUGCUGGGAAGGGGUGCACGUCCGGACCGCGUUACAAAGGACUGGCUGCUCCUCCUCCUUGCCCUCUCGGGGGUGGGGGGGGGUUGUGGUUGGCCCCAGCGGCUCUUGCUGUGUGCUUCUGACCUAUCAACUAGAUGGCAGCAUAAACGACAUGCUUUGGU